rnacentral:lncRNA from 1 species
GGGCUCCGCUGUGGCCUGCCCUGCGGCUGGCAGGCCAUCUUCCGGGGAGAGGAGAGGAGAAGAAAUGGUGGUAGAGAAAGAAAGGCAAGGGGAGCUGUGCAGAACCACCCGGAAGCUGGAGAGUUCAACGCGGAGAACCUGCUCUGUGCCAGGCCCCCACCUGGGAGGUGUGGGCAACCUUCCUGCCUUCCGGGUGCUCAGAGUCUAGUCUGGAGACAAUAAGAAAAAUGGUUAAUCACCAUGGAAUGUGCUAGCGCCUUAGCCCGAAGCAGGGGUCUGGUUGUUGAGAUUUUUCUGCAAACAAUUGUGCGUGAAAUCAGGACCCAGAUGCUGCAGAACUGAAGUGGGAAGGGACUGACCACCAGUGGGCAAAAGGCCGAAGAGGGUAGGCCAGAGAGGGGCUGUCUCUAAGGGCUAAAAAUACAAGGGUUGAGACCAACUGAAGUGUGGCGAUUUCCUUGACGUUGGCAUUUUGGUUUUGUUUUCCUUUUUUUAAGAUAAGAGUUAUAUAGUAACUCAGAGCUCAGUAACAUCAGCAUUUUGGAAGUAGGAUAGGAAGAAAGUCUCAUCACAA